AGUGAACGCUGGCGGUAGGCCUAACACAUGCAAGUCGAACGGCAGCACAGUAAGUUCUUGCUCUUACUGGUGUCGAGUCGCGUACGUGUGAGGUAUACAUCGUAAUCUACUUUUUCGUGUGGGUUAUCGUAGGGAUACUUACGCUCAUACCGCAUACGUCCUUCCGGUGAAAGCAUUUGAUCUUCGCACCUUUCUCGCUUGCAUGAGCCGCUGUCUGAUUAGCUAGUUUGCGGGGUAAAGGCCCACCAAGGCGACGCUCCGUAGCUGGUCUGAGAGGAGGAUCAGCCACACUGGAACGGAGACACGGACCAGACUCCUACGGGAGGCAGCAGUGGGGAAUAUUGGACAAUGGGGGCAAGCCUGAUCCAGAAAUACCGCGGGGGUGAAGAAGGCCUUCGGGUUGUAAAGCCCGUUGGUUGGGAAAGAAAAGCAGCAGGGUAAAAACCCGAUGUUGUGACGGUACCCAAAGAAUAAGCAACGGCUAACUUCGUG
rnacentral:rRNA from 1 species